UAACGGUCACUGAGAUGUUGAAAAUAUUUUUGAAGGAAGAGUAUGAAUUUGCCAAUUAGAAAAGUUGGGGGAGGCCACUUCUGGCAAGAAACACAGCUUGUGCAAUAUUAUGACACCAUAAUGGACAUCUGUGUAUUUGGAAAGCAGCAGUUGCUUUGGUAUGACUAAAGGUCAGGUUCACUGGGGAGAGUAGGAGGAGCUGGAGCUGGAGAACCAGGUCUGAGUUACAUGGUGGAUGCCCUAAUGUACUAUGAUAAGGAUCUUAUCCUGUAAGAAAUGGAUAGGAAACUUCUUCCAGGUGCUCCCUGUCAUCCUUUCUCAUUCAGUCUGCAGGGUCCUUCAGCAAGUGCCCAUCACAGUGAACAAAUUCUUUGAGAGAUAGAGAGAGGUGGAAUGUUUUGAAAGAGUGACCUAUGACCUGGAUGUCUAGAGCCCUCAACACUUGACCCAAGUCCCAAACUACAUCCUCUUUCCUCCACCUGUGUAGAAAGAACACAUUAUUCUUGAAACUUGGUGUGUUGUCCAUUUUAUGAAAAAUAAUACUUAAAACCCACUGUAUCAGUCAGGGUUUAACCCAAGAAGCAGAACCACUCGGAUUAUGUGUAUCCAUAUAUAUAUGGAUUUGUUACAGGGAUUUGAUCUGUAACAACUCAUGCGGCAGCUCAUUAUACAGCCUCCGUAA
rnacentral:lncRNA from 1 species